UCAGUAGCUCAGUUGGUUAGAGCGCCGGCCUGUCACGCCGGAGGUCGAGGGUUCGAGCCCCUUCUG
rnacentral:tRNA from 4 species